AGUAGUGUAAGAGAGGUCAUGUUUAGAGAGAAAGAGAGCUUUCGUCUUUCGACAUGCUCUCUUUAUCUCUGAACAUUACUUCUCUUGUUCUAUU